CAGCAGCUAUAGGCUUUGAAGCAUCAAAGUCUUCCCACCCCUUCAUCAUAUUCUGUGGGAAAAAGGAAAGAAGGCACAGAGAAAUGCCAGUGCAGAAACUAGGAAGUUUGACCAUUAUGGACGAACACUUGUAUCAUGCAAACCCUGUGAAUCAGCAGAGUCUCAGAUCCAUGAAGGAAGCCCUGUGGAGUGAGCAGGAGGCCUGAAGACCCACAGAACAGAAAUAAAGAGUGGGAAAGAAUCCACUGGCCACCCCCAAUUUAGAAGUGCCUGUUAGCUGUAGAUCCAAAUGACAACCAUUGGUUCUUCCUUACCUCUGCUGGGAAAUCCUUUGUGAAAUGACCGGGAACUUCUAGAGAUCCAAGGAGUACAAACUGUAGAGGUGGAAAGGGAGCCAUGGAAAAGAGGCAGGAGCCUCUUCAGUCUGUGACCCAGAGGCUGAGUUCCAUGCAGGGCUGGAUGGUGAGCUGGGGUGGGUGGAGAGAAUUGACCAUCUGGAGCACUUGGUUAAGCAGGGCAGAAGACAGAGAUUCAAUGAGGGGCUUAGAGGAGUCACUCAGAGGGGAAGAGGGAGGGACUAACCCGAGAGGGGUUGUAGGGAGAGGGACUAGAGCAUGAUAGGAGGUGACACAAUACAACUUCGUCUAUUCAAAUGUUGCUUAAGCCUGGUCAUAUGGUCCAUAGGAGAAAGUAACUCCUUUGUAAAUCUCGUGGAACUCAGCUCCCAAGAACCCAAACUGAGGGUUGGGGUUAUUUAUAGUAUGACCCAGUUGCAUUGUAGGCUAGGAACAAAUCAGCAUUUAGAAAAGAAGUUUUCAUGAAGAUAUUAUUCCAGGUGGGAACAGUGGAUCAUGAUCAUUAGAAGAUGAUCCAUUGCUUCUGCUAUAAUCACUGUAACUACUACCUCACUAGAACUACUAUGGCCUUCACUAUUAGAACAGCUAUGACUGUUGAUACCACCACAAUUUCGCUUUCCCUUCUAGGCCUCCAGAAAUGACUUUGAACACCCAAAGGUUGAUGCUAGUGAAGGAGGGUCCCCACUGGUAGGGUCCUUUCUGUGUGGGUGGAGGUUGCCAGGGAUUAACAAGGCAGGGGCCUUAGUGGAGGCUAAUAGCAGGUGGUGGAGGGGAGUGGUAUGUGAAGCUUCUGAUCACAAUGACCACAGCUGG
rnacentral:lncRNA from 1 species